UAUGCCCUUUGAAAUCAUUUUCCACCUGGUUGUAAUGCUUUAGGGUGAUGUGUAGAGUAUGGAGAUAGAAGGCAACCUCACUUCUCACACAAACAUCAAGAACAUCAAGUAGACAAAGAGUAAACUUGGGAUCAUAGUACUGGUCUAGUGUUGUCUUUUCAGACAUCUACCACUGACCAGCCUCCAAAUUCCCACACAUGA